AGGAGAGGUGUCCUGACACCCUCCUCUUGAAAGAGUUCAAGUCGUAGGCAGGAGGAAAUACAGAUGAAGGAAGAUUGUUCCAGAGUUUACCAGCGUGAGGGAUGAAAGAGUGAAGAUGCUGGUUAACUCUUGCAUAAGGGGUUUGGACAGUAUAGGGAUGAGCAUGAGUAGAAAGUCGUGUGCAGCGGGGCCGCGGGAGGGGGGGAGGCAUGCAGUUAGCAAGUUCAGAAGAGCAGUCAGCGUGGAAAUAUCGAUAGAAGAUAGAAAGAGAGGCAACAUUGCGGCGGAAUUUAAGAGGUAGAAGACUAUCAGUAUGAGGAGGAGAGCUGAUGAGACGAAGAGCCUUAGCCUCCACUCUGUCCAGAAGAGCUGUGUGAGUGGAGCCCCCCCACACAUGAGAUGCAUACUCCAUACGAGGGCGGACAAGGCCCCUGUAUAUGGACAGCAACUGUGCAGGGGAGAAGAACUGGCGGAGACGGUACAGAACGCCCAGCCUCGAGGAAGCUGAUUUAGUAAGAGAUGAGAUAUGAAGUGUCCAGUUGAGAUUUUGAGUUAAGGAUAGACCGAGGAUGUUUAGUGUUGAGGAAGGUGAUAGCUGAGUGUUGUCAAAGAAUAGGGGAUAGUUGUUU